rnacentral:rRNA from 1 species
UAGGGAAUAUUGGACAAUGGGCGAAAGCCUGAUCCAGCAAUGCCGCGUGAGUGAUGAAGGCCUUAGGGUUGUAAAGCUCUUUUACCCGGGAUGAUAAUGACAGUACCGGGAGAAUAAGCUCCGGCUAACUCCGUGCCAGCAGCCGCGGUAAUACGGAGGGAGCUAGCGUUGUUCGGAAUUACUGGGCGUAAAGCGCACGUAGGCGGCUAUUCAAGUCAGAGGUGAAAGCCCGGGGCUCAACCCCGGAACUGCCUUUGAAACUAGAUAGCUUGAAUCCAGGAGAGGUGAGUGGAAUUCCGAGUGUAGAGGUGAAAUUCGUAGAUAUUCGGAAGAACACCAGUGGCGAAGGCGGCUCACUGGACUGGUAUUGACGCUGAGGUGCGAAAGCGUGGGGAGCAAACAGGAUUAGAUACCCGCGUAGUCCCUGAGCGGGCUGGCAAGGCGCAU